AACAGGAUUAGAUACCCUGGUAGUCCACGCCCUAAACGAUGUCAACUGGUUGUUGGGAGGGUUUCUUCUCAGUAACGUAGCUAACGCGUGAAGUUGACCGCCUGGGGAGUACGGCCGCAAGGUUGAAACUCAAAGGAAUUGACGGGGACCCGCACAAGCGGUGGAUGAUGUGGUUUAAUUCGAUGCAACGCGAAAAACCUUACCUACCCUUGACAUGUCUGGAAUCCUGAAGAGAUUUGGGAGUGCUCGAAAGAGAGCCAGAACACAGGUGCUGCAUGGCCGUCGUCAGCUCGUGUCGUGAGAUGUUGGGUUAAGUCCCGCAACGAGCGCAACCCUUGUCAUUAGUUGCUACGAAAGGGCACUCUAAUGAGACUGCCGGUGACAAACCGGAGGAAGGUGGGGAUGACGUCAGGUCAUCAUGGCCCUUAUGGGUAGGGCUACACACGUCAUACAAUGGCCGGGACAGAGGGCUGCCAACCCGCGAGGGGGAACUAAUCCCAGAAACCCGGUCGUAGUCCGGAUCGUAGUCUGCAACUCGACUGCGUGAAGUCGGAAUCGCUAGUAAUCGCGGAUCAGCUUGCCGCGGUGAAUACGUUCCCGGGUCUUGUACACACCGCCCGUCACACCAUGGGAGCGGGUUCUGCCAGAAGUAGUUAGCCUAACCGCAAGGAGGGCGAUUACCACGGCAGGGUUCGUGACUGGGGGUGAAGUCGUAACAAGGUAACC
rnacentral:rRNA from 1 species